UUUGAGUCAGUCUUUAGGAUUGAGUCAGUCAAAACUUUGUGGGAAUUAGGACCUUAUUCCGUGUUGAUCACUAACCACCUCGGGCUUUAGUUAUCUUAUUCAGUGACCUUAGCAACGGCGAAAGACACACAUAUGGACCUGGAACACCUUUGUGUAUCUCACUUGAUUCUCCAGAAGUUUUCAGCCGAUCAAGUUACACUAGGUAGACUGAACUCCACCUAACUUGAACCUAAGCUUGACUGAAAUUCUUCUUGUUAUGGGCAUUAGAUCUGGGAAACGAGAACACACUCAGGACUUCUUAUCCUUUUUAUCCAUCUUGCUGAUCCUGAGUGGCUAGCUCAUCUUUAGCUAGUUCCCACCGUGCACCUUAGCUUUUAUUCCACCUUCAUGCAUUUAUUUUUCAGUGUCAUAUGUGCAAAUAUGUGCAAAAUGGUCAGAGAGGAGAACAAGCAGAAGGGAACAACCACUCCAUAACCAAUAUGAACUUCGCAAGAGCAGGGGAAGAGAACCAGAAUGGUUGCGAAAUCAGAACCACCAGUGGCACUCAGAACCAUCAUGUAUUAC
rnacentral:lncRNA from 1 species